GAAGGAAGCCGUGUAGUUUUACCGUAUUACCCUCAUGACCCUCCCUACCCGUUAUUUCCUCCUCCCCUAACCUUGUCCUGUGCGCGCGCACACAAAUUACACAAUACAAGAUCAAUCUCGUACCGGCGACGGCGACUGUGCCCGUUCCCGGAAAACUGUCGUCAUUGAGGGUUUGUGGAUUGAGAUUGAGAUUGAGUUUGCGAUUGCAAUUGAGAGUGGUGGCUGCCUGCCUGCAAGUGCAAUGUUUGGUUUGCAUAAGUCGCCAAGACAAAUGAGGAAUGUGAAGGGAACACUAGCAGGAUUCGGUGGGGGGAAUGUUGAGGCUUCCUAUUUGUCAAGUCGUAAUUUCAGCACUCAGCAGCAGCAUCGGGUUUUAAAAGACAUUCCGGAAUUUGUAAAGAUUGUAGAAGUUGGAGCAAGGGAUGGACUGCAGAAUGAGAAGCACACUGUUCCUACCGCUGUCAAGGUUCAAUUGAUUCAAAUGCUUGUUUCUUCUGGUUUGCCUGUUGUCGACCCUACAAGUUUUGUCUCCCCAAAAUGGGUUCCUCAGCUGGCAGAUGCAAAAGAUGUAAUGGCCGCUGUUCGGAAUAUUGGAGGUGCUAGAUUUCCCGCCCUAACCCCUAAUCUUAAAGGAUUUGAGACAGCUGUUGCUGCUGGUGCAAAGGAAGUUGCCAUAUUUGCCUCAGCUUCUGAAUCUUUCUCAAAAUCAAAUAUAAAUUGCAGUAUUGAAGAUAGUCUCGUUCGAUAUAGUGAUGUUUCUAUUGCUGCCAGAAAGCUUUCAAUUCCUGUUCGUGGGUACUGUCAUUCCAAUGCUUGAAGCUGUUAUUGAUGUGGUCCCAAGUGAGAAGCUUGCUGUCCAAUUUUCACGACACUUAUGGGCAAGCUCUUUCAAACAUACUAGCGUCACUCCAGAUAGGAAUCAGCACAGUGGAUUCUUCAGUAUCAGGUCUUGGGGGUUGUCCGUAUGUAAGGGAGCUUCCGGAAAUGUUGCCAUGAAAGAUGUUGUGUACAUGCUUAAUGGACUUGGAGUGAAGACCAAUGUAGAUCUUAAAAAGCUCAUGUUGGCUGGGGACUAGGGGUGGGCACGGUGCGGUUCGGUGCGGUUCGGUGCGGUUUCACCCCUAAAUUGGAACCGAAAUCGAAAUAUAUUAACGGUUCGAUUUGGUGCAGUUCCACUUAAAUUUAUUACUAGAACAUUAUGGUUCGGUCUACACCGGUUCCGAUUCGGUUCUUGCCGGUUUACGAUUCCUAAUAAUAAAUUAUUU